AAUUACUCCUCGCAUAGCCACGUCCGGUCGGCACCUAAUAAUUUUUGGAAGUCUUGCCAGAGCUUUCUUCCGAUGAUCAGUGACAAAGCUUUGAAGAUGAAGUGAAGGUAGAGAUUUAGGUGAACUGUUGUCACAUAACUGUUGGAUUCCGCAAAUCAGAAAUCUGUAGAUCUAGCCGAUGUCAGGUGCCCUAGCAGGACUUCAAGAUCAUCUCAAGCUCGCGAGGGACUACGCGCUCGAAGGCCUUUAUGACACUUCUAUUAUUUUUUUUGAUGGCGUCAUUGCACAGAUCAACAAGCAUUUGAAUGCUCUUGAUGAUGCUGUUAUUCGCACAAAAUGGAUGGACUGCAAAAAGGCCAUUUCUGAGGAAAUAGAAAUUGUAAAACAAUUGGAUGCUGAAAUAAGGGCCUUUAAGGAAAUUCCAGGGUCGAGGAGGUCCUCAUCUCCACCACUUCCAACAAAAUCCUUUGUUUUCCAACCAUUGGAUGAAUAUCCAACAUCAUCAAAUGUUCCCUUGGAUGAUCCUGAUGUGUGGAGACCACCUAGUCGAGAUAGCCAGCAAUAUGGAAGUAGAAGAUCAACCAGGAGCAGUCCAGCUGGUGCACGGAAGUCUUCAGAUGCAACAUGGGCACGUGGUUCAUCUAAAUCAGGAACUGUUGGCCGUGGAGCCAAGUCUAAUGCUAGCAAAGGUGGCUCAAGUAUUAGAUCCUCAACCUCCUCUGGGUUGAUAGGGAAAAAAGGCAAAUCAACUAGCAAGUUAGAUUCACAGAUUGGUGAUGCUGAAGAAGGAAAGCUAAAGAAGGGACAGUAUGAAGGACCGGAUCCUGAUUUAGCUGCAAUGCUUGAGAGAGAUGUCUUGGAGACAAGCCCAGGUAUAAGGUGGGAUGACGUUGCAGGGCUAAGUGAAGCCAAAAGAUUGCUAGAAGAAGCUGUUGUGCUCCCUCUUUGGAUGCCUGAAUAUUUUCAGGGCAUCCGGAGGCCAUGGAAAGGUGUUCUUAUGUUUGGCCCACCUGGCACGGGAAAAACACUGCUGGCAAAGGCUGUUGCUACUGAGUGUGGAACAACAUUUUUUAAUGUUUCAUCGGCUACUUUGGCUUCAAAAUGGCGUGGGGAGAGUGAGCGCAUGGUUCGUUGCUUGUUUGAUCUUGCUAGAGCUUAUGCUCCUAGUACCAUAUUCAUUGAUGAGAUUGAUUCUCUUUGCAAUGCUCGAGGGAAUGUGUACACUAAAUUGUUGACAAUCAUGAAAUGGAGUGGUUUUGCUUUAUUGUUCUUCCAUUUGAUGGCUCUAUUUCUGAGCUUCGGGAGAGCACGAGUCCUCCAGAAGAGUGAAGUCUGAACUUCUAGUUCAGGUAGAUGGAGUAAACAACAGCUCGGUUAGUGAAGAUGGAGGGAGGAAAAUAGUGAUGGUUCUUGCUGCAACCAAUUUUCCAUGGGAUAUUGAUGAGGCGCUGAGGAGGCGGCUGGAAAAACGUAUAUACAUACCUCUUCCCAAUUUUGAGAGUCGCAAAGAGCUUAUCAAAAUUAACUUGAGGACUGUCGAAGUAUAACUUCUGAUCUAUUAGUACUAUUUUUAGAAUCACUUUUGGAGCUUUACAACUUCUCUUUUACCAUUUCAUUCCAUGCAGUUCUUUUGCAUGCAAGUCGUUUUGAUGCUUCUACUAGGUCUCUUCGGUUUUCUGAUUUUGUAGCCAUUCUUCAUUUGAGUUUUGCAUUGUCUUUGUUAUUUUUUUUUUCUAUUGUAGUUUUAACAUCCAAUUCAUGUUCAGAAAUUUGAAUGCCUGCCCAA